rnacentral:rRNA from 1 species
AAAGGCCAAUCAAACCGGGAGAUAGCUGGUUCUCCCCGAAAGCUAUUUAGGUAGCGCCUCGUGAAUUCAUCUCCGGGGGUAGAGCACUGUUUCGGCAAGGGGGUCAUCCCGACUUACCAACCCGAUGCAAACUGCGAAUACCGGAGAAUGUUAUCACGGGAGACACACGGCGGGUGCUAACGUCCGUCGUGAAGAGGGAAACAACCCAGACCGCCAGCUAAGGUCCCAAAGUCAUGGUUAAGUGGGAAACGAUGUGGGAAGGCCCAGACAGCCAGGAUGUUGGCUUAGAAGCAGCCAUCAUUUAAAGAAAGCGUAAUAGCUCACUGGUCGAGUCGGCCUGCGCGGAAGAUGUAACGGGGCUAAACCAUG